CUGAGAGAACUAAUUGUACAAAAAGUACCAAGUGUGAACUCUUAGAGAAUAGCCAAGAUCCUUUUGCAUUUGAUGAAGAUGAAUUUCAGCCCUCAAAGUGGGACUUGCUUUCUGGAAAAAAGAAAAAAUCUCAAUCUCGAAAUUGCAGUGUAAUCUCAAAAGAACUCGAAGAUGGGUGUCAAUAUCAGCUAAUGAGCCAAGAAUCAAUUAAUGGUGAAAAUUACCAACAAAAGUCUAGACAUGUGGAAAAUCAUUGUUCACAAGAAAACAUUUUCUCUGAGGAAGAACAUUCCAGCCUCCUGGCAGACUGUCUUCUUACUGCA
rnacentral:misc_RNA from 1 species